AAAAAUAAAAAUAAAAAUAAAAAUUAGGGCUUAUUGACCAUUUAUGUCUGUGUAAUUUUAUACAUGGUUAUGCGAUUCGAUUGUUCAAAUAGUUUUCUAGGCUUAUUGACUAUCCAGAAAUAGGGUUUUCAAAUUAUAUUGAAAGAAUUUAUAACAAGAGUUUAUGUGACCCUGUUAUAAAAGCUUCGUAUUAUUUUCUAUUUUUCAGCCCCACGAACGUCUUGGAUUUUAUGUAUUAAAUAUUGAUUCUUUGGUAAAUUCUUUUUCUGUUAACGUUUUCCCCCAACAGUUUGUUCUCGUGUAUGAAAUUUUCAAUUGUAGGAGUUAAUCAAUCUCACUUGAGAAACUAAAACUAGUGAAUUGUUUCUGGAUGUGUGCUUCCGACUUGUGUGUGUAUGUGUGAUGCGGGUAUAAUAAAGGAUAUUUUUCCUGAACUAAUUUUGUAGCAAAUUCAAAAGUGAAUAACAUCAUUUUGUGCACGAGCAAAUUGAUGGUUUUAUGAUGUAGUUGCACUAUUAAUGUGGAGAUCAAUUUGUGCACGAUGAGAAGAUAAUUUUGGAUUCAUGAAUUGCCAUCUUAUCUUUAUUUUCAAGUUGAAGGCUAAAUGCAUGGAAAAAGAAUGAGAUGUAAACAUUACUAUUUGCUUUCUUGUGUUACACACAUACACAUGAACAGAUGCACGCGUCUAUAAACAGUUCCCAGACUAUCUUUAAAAGAAAACUGAAUUUGAAAUUGAACUUUAUCAUCACGUGGUAGGUGCUAGUGUAUUUAUGAUUUUAUCAUGCAUCUGCACGAGUAAUGGAAUGCAGAUCACUCAUCCACAAUGAGAGGAUAAUUUUGUUUACUUGAAUCCCAUCAUAUCUUUAUUUUCAGCAUUAUUGGAAAAUUAAUGAGAGGGAAAAUUAUGGUUGUGAUAAAUGAAGUCAUGGAGCAAGAAAUCGUCUCUCCCCUUUUUGUUUGGAACAAUUGAUGGUUGUAAGAGUGUCCCAAUCUCUUUUAUGGAAACUAUUGUUUACAUGACUAUUGUGUCACAUCUUCUCUAUGAUAGAAAGAGAUGGGAACAAGUGCAAGUGAGGGAGAGUGCCUAUAAAGACACUGAAUCCUUAUUUUUACAGCCCCUGUCUUCUAUUGCUCGUCAUCUAACUUAUCUUGCAAUAUUUGCUGUCUUGUUUUGUGUUCUCAAAUUACAAAAUAUUUUGAAUGGUUGUUGUCAAUGUUAAAUUAUGUUUCUUAGAUGGAUCUCAAUCCAGAAAUGGUCUGAUAGACCAUAAUGCUUUCAUUAUCUCAUGUAUCAGUUUCUGCAAGGAAGACAAUCACCUGCAGGGUUGUCAUAAUGUGGAAGAUACUUGGGGUUUGUGGCUGCAAAAUAAGAUUAAUGGCAACCUGGGUUUCUCUGAUCGUGCUGGUGAUGGCUGUUUAGAGGAAUGUGGGCAUAAGAUUGUAAAUUGAAAAAAUUAAAAAUUAAAAAUUAAAUGCAUUGUGCAAAUUUUUUUAGUUAGCGAACAAUUUGGUGUUGAAUUCGGUGGUUUUUCCUUCAAUAUGGACGUCGAACUGAUUCGGAUAGCUCAUUUGGACGAGAAGACUAUUGAACUUGAAUUACUGGACAAAACACGUGUGAAAUGACUGGUUUUGCUGGAUGUUUUAUAACAUCUGCACUACGCUACAUUGCCACUGGGCCACUCCAAUUUGUUACCUAAUAUUCACACUAUAACAUAUUUGAAAAAUGACAUCAAUUAUUAAGAUUAAAUUAAGUUACAUUGAUAAGAAAAUAAUAUUUUUUUAAUAAUUAUCUAGAUUAAUCAAAACUGUUUCGUACACAUCUUGAAAAAAUUAAAAUAAUUUCUUGUGUUGGCUAAAAUUUAGUAUAUGAUUAUUAAAGUACAAUUUUUUAAGCAACUAUGAAUGGAUAUCUUAAUUUUCAUUGAGAUAAAUCAAUCUUCGUCAGUGUAGAUGAGUUAAAACUUUUAUUCUGUGUAAAAAUAUGCGUAUUACCGAGUAUGUUACUCUACUCUAGCAAAAAUAUAAACCAUUGAAUAUAUUUUAC
rnacentral:lncRNA from 1 species